ACGAACGCUGGCGGCGUGCUUAACACAUGCAAGGCGAACGGAAAGGCCCUGCUUUUGUGGGGUGCUCGAGUGGCGAACGGGGGAGUAACACGUGAGUAACCUGCCCUUGACUUUGGGAUAACUUCAGGAAACUGGGGCUAAUACCGGAUAGGAGCUCCUGCUGCAUGGUGGGGGUUGGAAAGUUUCGGCGGUUGGGGAUGGACUCGCGGCUUAUCAGCUUGUUGGUGGGGUAGUGGCUUACCAAGGCUUUGACGGGUAGCCGGCCUGAGAGGGUGACCGGCCACCUUGGGACUGAGAUACGGCCCCGACUCCUACGGGAGGCAGCAGUGGGGAAUAUUGCACAAUGGGCGGAAGCCUGAUGCAGCAACGCCGCGUGCGGGAUGACGGCCUUCGGGUUGUAAACCGCUUUCGCCUGUGACGAAGCGUGAGUGACGGUAAUGGGUAAAGAAGCACCGGCUAACUACGUG
rnacentral:rRNA from 1 species